AUUGAACGCUGGCGGCAGGCCUAACACAUGCAAGUCGAGCGGAGCGGCGGACGGGUGAGUAAUGCCUAGGAAUCUGCCUGGUAGUGGGGGAUCACGUCCGGAAACGGGCGCUAAUACCGCAUACUAUCAGAUGAGCCUAGGGCGGAUUAGCUAGUUGGUGGGGUAAAGGCCUUCCAAGGCGACGAUCCGUAACUGGUCUGAGAGGAUGAUCAGUCAGCCGGGAACGGAGACACGGUCCAGACUCCGACGGGAGGCAGCAGUGGGAAAUAUUGGACAAUGGGCGAAAGCCUGAUCCAGCCAUGCCGAGUGUGUGAUGAAGGUCUUCGGAUUGUAAAGCACUUUAAGUUGGGAGGCGUUACCAACAGAAUAAGCACCGGCUAACUUCGUGCCAGCAGCCGCGGUAAUUC
rnacentral:rRNA from 1 species